ACGGAAGGCAGCAGUGGGGAAUAUUGCACAAUGGGCGAAAGCCUGAUGCAGCGACGCCGCGUGAGUGAUGAAGUAUUUCGGUACGUAAAACUCUAUCAGCAGGGAAGAUAAUGACGGUACCUGACUAAGAAGCCCCGGCUAACUACGUGCCAGCAGCCGCGGUAAUACGUAGGGGGCAAGCGUUAUCCGGAUUUACUGGGUGUAAAGGGAGUGUAGGUGGUUUGGCAAGCCAGAUGUGAAAGCCCGGGGCUCAACCCCGCGGACUGCAUUUGGAACUGUUAAACUUGAGUGCAGGAGAGGAAAGUGGAAUUCCUAGUGUAGCGGUGAAAUGCGUAGAUAUUAGGAGGAACACCAGUGGCGAAGGCGGCUUUCUGGACUGUAACUGACACUGAGGCUCGAAAGCGUGGGGAGCAAACAGGAUUAGAUACCCUGGUA
rnacentral:rRNA from 1 species